UUUUUUUUUUUUUUUUGGCUUUUUAGGGGCCACACCUGUGGCAUAUGGAAGUUCCCAGGUUAGGGCUCAAAUCGGAAUUAUAGAUGCCAGCCUACACAACAGCUUAUGGCAAUGCCUGAUCUUUAACCCACUGGGCAAGGCCAGGGAUUAAACCUGCAUCUUCAUGGAUCCUAGUUGGGUUCGUUACUGUUGAGCCAAAAAGGGAACUCCAUGGCCCUGUCUUAAAUCACUGCAGGACUGGGCACAGGACAGAUGGACACCUCCUCCCUAUAUCCCAGAGCACAUUGAAAUUUUUCAGACAAGUUGAUCCCAAACCUGUCUGCCCUGUUUAACCUGCCCUUCCCAUUUCUUCACAUGAAAAGCACAAGUCUCACACACAUGCUUUCCCCUCACUCUCAAUGACCUGGUGCUUCCUUGUGUGGCCCUGCCUCGCAUGCUGUGCCUCCUCCUUCUAGGGAUCUGUGAGCAUCAACUUCUUCCUUCGUGAGAGUCAUUUCCAUGUCUUACCAUAUUGAUUGAAAAAAAUCCUGGUACAUUUUAAAACAGCAUUCCAUAAGACUCUGCAGCUGCUUAGCUUAUCAUGAUUGUCAUUAACAUCAUAUAAACUUUAAAAAGAGGCAUGGAUUUUGAUAAAUCAGAGCUGGAGUAAAGCCUAUUCUGAAUAAGAAUUAAAAAUCCAUGAGUUUCUGUUGUGACUCAGCUGGCUAAUAACAUGACAUAGUGUCUGUGAGGAUGUGGGUUCAACCUCUGGCCUCACUCAGUGCGUUAAGGAUCUGGUGUUGCCACAAGCUAUGGCAUGGGUUGUAGAUGUAGCUCAGAUCCCAUGUUGCCAUGGCUGUGUCAUAGGCCUCAGGUGAAUCUCCAAUUCAACCCCUAGCCUGGAAACUUCCAUAUGCUGCUGAUGAAGCCAUAAAAAGAAAAAAAAAAAGAGUUAAAAGUUUAAAAUAUCUUAACAGGUUGGACUUAUAGAGACAAAUAGCAUAGGGUAAAGUUUGAAGGAAUUUUAAAAGAAGUGGUGCAUUAAAUGCAGAAUGGGGGAAAUAGGCCUCAAAAUAAUCCAUCAGAAAAAAAAAAGAGAGACUCUGUACAGAGCUGUACAUUUGGAUGGCUUCAUUUCUUGGGAUGAAGCUGAUGGUGUGAAGUGGCUACCAAAAAGACAAAUGCAAAUUUGGGUGGUGCUAACAAUUUGAUUGUCAGUACAAAGUAGAGGCUAUCCUCACUGUAUGAUGUGCUAGUUGGACGAAAUUUGGAGCUUGGUUCCUUUAAAAAUCCUAGGAGCCAAGAAACACAAUUACAGUUGGAAAAUUAGAAUAGUAAAGGAUGUAAAAAUCAUGUUGAAGGAGCUAUAAAAGAGAAAGGCACGUAGCUACUUUAAGCAUCUGAAAUGUUCUCAUGUAAAAGAGGGAACAAAUAUUCUCCUUUUUCGUUGGUAGGUAGAACCAUGUCCAGUAAGUGGAAGUUCAAAAGAAGAAUCUUCACCUCAGUAAGAGGUAAUGGGAAGAGUGGGAUGAAAUUAAACUUCUUUGUUGAGCUUCCAUUAUGUGCAAGACAUAGUACUGUCUUCUACCCACAAACACCUUACUUUCUAAUAUUGAAUGUUCUUACAACACACUAUUGUCAUUCUUCUAAUGAAAAUUCAUAAACUGUUUUAUAAGGAAUUCCAUGGAAGACAGUCUUUGAUAUCCUCUUAGCCCUCUUCUUCUUUUUUUCUUUUGUCUUUUUUAGGGCUGCACCAUGGCAUGUUGAAGUUUCCAGGUUAAGGGUCAAAUCAGAGCUACAGCUGCUGGCCUCCACCACAGCCACAACAACUCGGGAUCUGAGCCUUGUCUGCAACCUACACCAUAGCUCAUGGCAACACCGGUUCCUUAGCCCUCUUAGUGGGGCCAGGAAUCAAACCCAUGUCUUCGUGGAUACUAGUCAGGUUUGUUUCUGCUGAACCACAACAGGAACUCCUAAGCCCGGUUCUAAGAGUGUAUGCUUUGUUAGUUUGCUGUCCUACUGUACGGAAUGAGGCUGGGGAAGAGGCUGGAGUAUUUCUCAAAGUUCCUUAUCUCAAUGUUAUUUACUGGGUGGAGUGAGACAUCUUCUCUUUCUCCAGUCAAUUAAAACUCUGCACCCUGUUGUAUCCUAUAUCAAUACAUUUUUAUCUGCUUAUCUUUUGAGACAGAAUCACAUGCUUAGUAAUUUGUAUUUACUAGGAACUCACAUCAAAUUCAGUAUCAUUUUCAUGGGUCAAGUUACCAACAGAGGUAUGUCUGAGGCUGGGCAUAAACAUGGCAUAUACAGGGAAGAGUUAGAACAUCAUUUGUUACCUGACACUACCUUAAUGGUCUAAAAUAUCUAGAUAUAGAGGUAUUCUUGAUUUUGUGGUCUGCUGUGCUUAUAUGUAGCAUAGGAAAAAAAUUAAAAAGCGCAAUAAAUAACUGCUGUUUUUGUCUCCUAGGGAAGUGGCAUGAUUCUUUCCUAAGAGGAUGGCCUUCUGUUCUUCUGUUGGGUCUUGCUCAUCAGUGAGAAAGAGGAAGCUCUAAGAACAUGGCCUUCUGGAAGAAGACCAGGAAAUGAAGAGACAGGUAAAUUGCUUUGUGUGAAUAUUAGCACUGAUUUGAGGGAGCAAAAUGUUAAAAGAGGGAAAGCGUUCUGAGAGCAGGAGAGAGGGCCAGGCAAGUUGAGAGCAGUGUAGGUGGACAGGGGAAGAAUUCCAGAAAGAAAGGCUGGAUGAGAACUUCCUGGUGAUAGGAGUGGCCGGAGGAAUUCCAGCAAGAUUUAUUUUAAGAGUAAUUCUGUGCAUGGCUGAAAUAUUCUAGCCCUUUGCCACUUAAACAUGUCUUCUAAGAAUAGAGUUCAAGGCAAUAAAGGGACCUUGUGGGCAUGUGAGUUAGCCCUGCACAACAAGAAGAGGACAGUCUUGGGAGGAGAGGUGCAAGUGCAAUGGGAAUAGUUAAUUAAAAAUACAGAUAACCAUGAGAAAGAGAUACAUUUAAGGUGUGUGUAAAAAUCUUAGAGAGGAUAUUGAGCUUCUUAUUAAAGAUGAGAAUAGUGGUUGAAGUUAAUUUUAUGUUAAGUCUCAGAGGACAGAAGGCCCUCAGCUGACAUCUAGAUUGAAUGUGUAAUUGCCUCAAUUCUCAUUUUCACUGUGCUUCUGUAGAAACAUCUUGAAAGUCAAGCUUAUGAAACAAUUACAAACAUGCUCCUGUUAUUCAUAUGGCUCAGCCUUUUUCUUUUUAUUAUUUCACCAAAAAGCCUGAAUUAUUUCAUGUUGAAAGUGGAAAAGGUAAUAUGUCUAUUGGACGGACAUGUUUUUCCAUCUAAAUUAACUCAUUGGUUUUGACCCUUGCAUAUCAUGAGAUAGUUUGGAACUAGUUUCAUAAAUUGGAAAGACAUCUAUUUUUAAUGUGUUAUCUUUAGCAAAAAGCUAGAAUGAGUCAAAACUCACUGUUAAAAAAUGCCCAAGCAAAAUCCAUGCUAUGCCACCUCCCCAAAGAUUUCCUGAAGUUUCAAUUGGUGGUUAAAAGUAUACAUUUCUAAACUGAAAAUCCUAUAGAAAGGUGGCCUCAGAACUUCUCAUGGGCCAGGUGCCUUGAUUCCUCUUGCGCCUAAUCUUCCAUCUGGCAAGCCACAACUCCAGUCACUAGACUAUAUAUCGGUAAACUUUCUUCCUGUAUUUUCUUUAUUGAUCUAGUACAACAGCAUAAAAACGCAUUCCCAAAUUAAAGGAAAGAUGGAAUUGACACUCUAACAGCCUUAGAAUAGUUUCUGCUUUACUAGAUUCUGAACUAUUUUCUCCCUCAAGUUAUUUGAAUGUGAGCCGAGGUGUGAACAAGGCAGGAAUGAGAAUCGAUAAUUAAGCCUGUUCUCUUUAGACCCACUAUGCUGGGAAAUCCAUUUCUUUCCCUCAGCCCGAUUAUUAUUUAGCAUUUAUCCAAUACCCUCAAGCCAGGUCUCCACAGCAGCAGAAUAAAACUUCAGUAAAACGAAACAAAAACUCAUACCAGCAAAAACCCACUUAGCCUGUUUCCAGAAGGGCAUUUUAUUGUCUUGGAGUAAUCAAGUCUUGGAAGAAGAGUCUGGGCAGCAAAAGAGGGGAGCUGUCUUUGUUCUCUGUUUUCUUGGAUGUGAAAUGUCAUACUUCAACCUUUGGGGCCACUAUCAUGUGUGACCAAUGGGGGAAAAAAAUGGAAUGAGGGCCUCUAGAGAGAAGCCUAUUCAAAUUUCUCCAGUCUGCCUUGCUCAGGCAUACCUCCCCCAGUCAUGAAGAGUAUUUCUACCCUCAUUGAUGACAGAGCAGGUCAUAGCAAAUAAGAAAUACUUUGUGAGGAGUUUGUGUCGUGGCUCAGCGGUAACCAACCCAGCUAGUAUCCCUGAGGACUCGGGUUCAAUCCCCAGCCUCCCUCAAUGGGUUAAGGAUCUGGCAUUGCCGUGAGCUUUGGUGUAGGUUGCAGAUGCGGCUUGGAUCUGGUAUUACUGUGGCUGUGGGGUAGACCAGUGGCUGCACCUCCGACUCAACCUCUUGCCUUGGAACUUCCAUAUGCCAUGGGUGAAACCCUUAAAAAAAAAAANCUCCAUGAAGCCUUGCUGACAGACUUUCCAAGGAAUCAGUUAUGGAAGGGAUAGCCAUGUGCCCCCAAAGACAAAAGGAAAAUUAUGACCUGACAAAGAGGUGAUACUGUGUAUUCCCUCCUGCCUGAGCAAGGAGCUCAGUCUGAAUUUGCUACUUCUGAGCUGCGUGCCCUAAUGCAAUGUAGGGAAAUGGGUCACAGCUGGAGACCAACCCUGCUUACAACAUUUCUGUUUACACUAUUUGCCUCUGGAAGACUACAAACCAUCAAAAAAUAAUGCCUCUCCCAUCACCUCCUGUGCUCUGGUGUUGUCCAGAUAUAGCUGCAGGUAUUUAUUUAGUGGCUCUGUACUGGGGCAAUGCACAGAUGCUUUGUUCCAAGAAGAGACAGGGACAACUC
rnacentral:lncRNA from 1 species